GUAGAUUACAGACAUCCACUGAGAUUGCUUGAGGAACAAUGUUUUGGGAGUUAGGGUUGUUGAUAUUUUAUCGAUACGAACUUCAAAUCACACUUUCCGAGCGAAACUAAUCGGAUUUUCGAUGAACGGAGCUAUCAUCGAAAUAACGCCGCGAAUCAUAGUAACCAUAGUAACCAUAAAUUUGUUAUGAUCGUGUUAUUGUACAAAAUUGCUGCUAAAAGGCGAAAAACGCCGAAAAUUGGUAAAAAAUAUACUGAAGCAGCUGUUAUUGAGUGUCUUCAAGCAAUAAAAAGUGGUGUUUCGACUAGAGAAGCUUACAGGCGCUACAAUUUCCCACGAUUCACCGUAAUGUUCCGUGCAAGCAGCAACUGGUCAGAAAAACCACGAAGAGGUAAACCAACUGCAUUGACUGUCGCGGAAUUAGGAUUCAAUUGUUGGCUGGAUAACUCGGAUAUCACGUAACGGAUUCCCUAUUGCGAAAGAACGGCUGCAGUCUACAGUUGCAAGAUUCAUUUCAGAAAACCCUCGUCGUUCGGACUGCAAGAUGAAAGCCGAGAGCUAGAAUGCAACGUGUGAGGUGGUUUAUUCAGGUCGACGAAGAAUUGUCCCAAGCGUGAGUCUCAGA